rnacentral:rRNA from 1 species
GACGAACGCUGGCGGCGUGCCUAAUACAUGCAAGUAGAACGCAGUUGCGAACGGGUGAGUAACGCGUAGGUAACUGCCUCAUAGCGGGGGAUAACUAUUGGAAACGAUAGCUAAUACCGCAUACUGUGAGAUGGACCUGCGUUGUAUUAGCUAGUUGGUGAGGUAAAGGCUCACCAAGGCCACGAUACAUAGCCGACCUGAGAGGGUGAUGAAGCACCCUGAGACUGGAACACGGCCCAGGUCCCUACGGGAAGGAGCAGUAGGGGUGCUGCGGAAAGGGAAGGAAGGCUGAGCGAGCAACGGCGAGGGAGGGAAGAAGGUUUUCGGAUCAUAAAGCUCUGUUGUUAGAGAAGCGGUAACUAACCAGAAAGGAACGGCUAACUACGUGCCAGCCGCCGCGGUAAUAC